ACGCCUAACACAUGCAAGUCGAACGAAGUAGCAAUACUUAGUGGCAGACGGGUGAGUAACAUGUAGGUAUCUGCCCUUUGGCCUGGAAUAACACGAGGAAACUUGUGCUAAUACCGGAUAAGUCUUUACGGAGAAAGCUUUACGCACCAUUGGAUGAGCCUGCACUUGAUUAGUUUGUUGGUGGGGUAAUGGCCUACCAAGACUGUGAUCAAUAGCUGAUUUGAGAGGAUGAUCAGCCACAUUGGGACUGAGACACGGCCCAAACUCCUACGGGAGGCAGCAGUGGGGAAUCUUGCACAAUGGAGGAAACUCUGAUGCAGCGAUGCCGCGUGAGUGAAGAAGGCCCUUGGGUUGUAAAGCUCUUUCGUCGGGGAAGAAAAUGACUGUACCCGAAUAAGAAGGUCCGGCUAACUUCGUGCCAGCAGCCGCGGUAAUACGAAGGGACCUAGCGUAGUUCGGAAUUACUGGGCUUAAAGAGUUCGUAGGUGGUUGAAAAAGUUGGUGGUGAAAUCCCAGAGCUUAACUCUGGAACUGCCAUCAAAACUUUUCAGCUAGAGUAUGAUAGAGGAAAGCAGAAUUUCUAGUGUAGAGGUGAAAUUCGUAGAUAUUAGAAAGAAUACCGAUUGCGAAGGCAGCUUUCUGGAUCAUUACUGACACUGAGGAACGAAAGCAUGGGUAGCGAAGAGGAUUAGAUACCCUCGUAGUCCAUGCCGUAAACGAUGUGUGUUAGACGUUGGAAAUUUAUUUUCAGUGUCGCAGCGAAAGCGAUAAACACACCGCCUGGGGAGUACGAC
rnacentral:rRNA from 1 species